CUAUUGUUUCUAUAUAGUCCAUAACGUCUACUGAGAAAAAGCUAGACAUCAGCCAACCUCGGUGAAUGCACUUUGUUCGACAUAAAACAGGAGCAUAAAAGAGAGACAUGGUUGAGCUCACCAUGCUCUCUAGACGG